rnacentral:rRNA from 1 species
AUACGGAGGAUCCGAGCGUUAUCCGGAUUUAUUGGGUUUAAAGGGAGCGUAGGCGGACUAUUAAGUCAGCUGUGAAAGUUUGCGGCUCAACCGUAAAAUUGCAGUUGAUACUGGUCGUCUUGAGUGCAGUAGAGGUAGGCGGAAUUCGUGGUGUAGCGGUGAAAUGCUUAGAUAUCACGAAGAACUCCGAUUGCGAAGGCAUCUCACGAAGGGGCUAUUGACGCUGAGGCACGAAAGCGUGGGGAUCAAACAGGAUUAGAUACCCUGGUAGUCCACGCAGUAAACGAUGAUGACUAACCGUCGGUCAAGACUGAUCGGUGGCCAAGCGAAAGCGAUAAGUCAUCCACCUGGGGAGUACGACCGCAAGGUUGAAACUCAAAUGAAUUGGCGGG